UUGGAGGGCAAGUCUGGUGCCAGCAGCCGCGGUAAUUCCAGCUCCAAUAGCGUAUAUUAAAGUUGUUGCAGUUAAAAAGCUCGUAGUUGAAUUUCGGGAUCAAAUUGUCGGUCGUGCCUCGGUACGCACUGGUAUUAUUGGUUCCUACCUUCUGAAGAACCGCGAUGUCAUUAAUUUGGUGUCGUGGGGAAUCAGGACUGUUACUUUGAAAAAAUUAGAGUGUUUAAAGCAGGCUUACGCUUGAAUACAUUAGCAUGGAAUAAUGAAAUAGGACGUUUGAUUCUAUUUUGUUGGUUUCUAGGAUUGACGUAAUGAUUAAUAGGGAUAGUUGGGGGCAUUAGUAUUCAAUUGUCAGAGGUGAAAUUCUUGGAUUUAUUGAAGACUAACUACUGCGAAAGCAUUUGCCAAGGAUGUUUUCAUUAAUCAAGAACGAAAGUUAGGGGAUCGAAGACGAUCAGAUACCGUCGUAGUCUUAACCAUAAACUAUGCCGACUAGGGAUCGGAUGAUGUUAAUUUUUUAAUGACUCAUUCGGCGCCUUACGGGAAA
rnacentral:rRNA from 1 species